UACGGAAGGGGCAAGCGUUGUUCGGAAUGAUUGGGCGUAAAGCGUCCGCAGGUGGCUGUGUAAGUCUGCUGUUAAAGAGUCUAGCUCAACUAGAUACAAGCAGUGGAAACUACACGGCUAGGGUACGUUCGGGGCAGAGGGAAUUCCUGGUGUAGCGGUGAAAUGCGUAGAGAUCAGGAAGAACACCGGUGGCGAAGGCGCUCUGCUAGGCCGUAACUGACACUGAGGGACGAAAGCUAGGGGAGCGAAUGGG
rnacentral:rRNA from 1 species